ensembl:antisense Gm15851 predicted gene 15851
GUCUGCAGGUCACUCACAUCUGUGCAGGCAGGUGGAGGGCUGAGUGUGCUGUGGAUACGGAAGUGCCUGCAGCAUCGUAGCCAUCCAUCUGCAGCUGAUUACACAGCCCUCCCAAAGCCGCCUGCGCAGGUUUCUUCCUAAUCUCAGCCGGGCUGAAUGGUCCAGUGGCCAGAGAAGCUGAUGCUGAUGAGAGGGGAUAGAGAAAGAAAACCUCAUGCCUUUCAAGCAUGAUGUUCAGCGCACUCCAUCCAUACACGAUUAAGUCAUCCUACUGAUUCUGUGUUAGAAGAUACUGCCACCCUCAUUUUACAGGUGUUCCAGCUUGUUGCUGAUGGCCGGCACGUUGCUGAUCUUGUUGUGAGACAGGUGGAGCACCAGCAAGUUGGAGAUGUUGAAGGAGUUCUUGGGGAGCCCGCGAUCUGACAGUUUGUUGUAGUUCAUGCGGAUGAAGGCCAGGUUGGGGAAGUCCUUGAAGUACCCGUUGGGGAUGGUCUCGAUCUUGUUGCUAUCCAGGUAGAGCUGGUGGAUGGCUUGGGGGACUUUGGGGGGCAUCUUUCUCAGGAUGUUGUGGGCUAGAUUGAGCUGCAUGAGGUUUUUGAGGCCCUGGAAGGUGUCGGCCUUGAAGACGCCGUCGCUCAGCCGAUUGUGCUGCAGAUCCAGGA